AGUAAAGUCAGCUAAACAAGCUGUUGGGCUCAUACCCCUAAAAUGUUGGAUAAACCCCUUCUUUUACUA
rnacentral:tRNA from 1 species